rnacentral:antisense_RNA from 1 species
AGAGAGGCCUCGGGGGGAUUCUGGGGCCUGGUGAAGUUUGGGAACUGCUGGUCUACACCAUGAGGAGAAACGCUGGACCCGGCCUAAGAAGAGGCCCUCCCUCCUGUCUGACAAUGAGCCAUGAGAAGGCCAUGGGAAAAAAAAAAAAAGAGGCCACCAGAAACCCUAUUGCCGAGGUCCUGGCAAGGAAGAAAAGGACAGAAGAGCAAAUUUCCCUACAAGAACACGGGUCUAGGAAACAGAAAAUAAAGGAAGCUUCCAUUUCAUGGGCAGAGACAUCUCGGCAAAUAGGCUGAGCCCAUGUCCCCAGAGCUCUGAGUAAGUAAAUUUUGAGAAAAGUG